UGAGCAAUCUGCCCUUCACAUCGGGAUAACCCCCGGAAACGGGAGCUAAUACCGAAUACGACCACUUCAGGCAUCUGAUGGCGGUGGAAAGUUCUGGCGGUGAAGGAUGAGCUCGCGGCCUAUCAGCUUGUUGGUGGGGUAAUGGCCCACCAAGGCUUCGACGGGUAGCCGGCCUGAGAGGGUGACCGGCCACACUGGGACUGAGACACGGCCCAGACUCCUACGGGGA
rnacentral:rRNA from 1 species